AUGGCGGCGGCGGCUUCGGGCUCGGAUGCGACCGAGCUAGAGGCCAUGAUGGAGGAGUUAGGUCUGAAUGAAGGCAAUCUUCAAGAUGUCGUGGUGAACGACGGCGAUCUCCCACAGGAAGCGACGAGGUGGAUGGCGAUCGCUCGAGUGCACACAGACAAAACCUACAGUCAGUACUGGUUCUAUCGCACCAUGAGGGUGGCGUGGGACCUUGCGAGGGAAGUCAAAAUCCGCCCUCUAGAAGAAAAUUUGUAUACUUUUCAGUUUCAGUUCUUAGGGGAUUGGGAGAGGGUCAUGGAAGAAGGUCCUUGGGCUUACAAAGGGAAAGCAGUGGUUAUUGAGCCAUAUGAUGGAUUCACCAGACCAUCGACCAUACCUCUUGACAAGAUGGGAAUCUGGGCUCAGAUUCACGACUUUCCAGAAGGGUACUUCCCGCUAAUCAAAUCCCUAGCUGCUACCAUUAGUGAGUUUGUCUUUGCAGAGCCGAAGUCACAGGACUUUGAAGGCAAUUUCUACCGUGUUCGUGUGAAAAUCAAUGUCAGAGAGCCACUAAAGAAUGUUGUUUCCAUAGUCAAGAACAAAAAGAGAGAGAUCUUCCGAGUUAAAUAUGAAAGGCUGCCUGAUUGGUGUGCUGUUUGUGGCCAUCUAGGGCAUGUCUUCAAAGAAUGUGGGGACGGAGUUCAUCCCCCAAAGGCUUUAAUUUUUAAGAAUCUGCGAGCUUCUUGGUUUAGGGGACCGGGCAGUGGACCUGGUGAAGGAAAGGGCAAUCGAGGGGGAGGUAGAUCACAAGGAGGCCGAGGAAACGGUCGCUCAGGGCGUGGAGGCCGGGGCACAGGACCAUCACCCGAGGAGCAGUUUGACACUGAAAACCCUGUCGAUGCUGAUAUGGAGGAUGUGGAUGUGGAUGGUAGCAGCAAGAGGACUCGAGGCAAUACACCUUUGCUCAUGGCGCCGAUGACGACCUCACAACAGAUGGGGGAUCCUACUACCUCUGUAUCUACUAUACCUCAAAGCCCUUCUUCAAAACAGAUUCCUAAGAGGCCAAAGACAAAUCCUACUACCGUGGAGAAACACAAUGAGAAGAACAAAGCAGCAAAUACAACUAAUGAUGCGCGUCUGGCGGACCCCAGCAAUGGGUCGCGCCAAGCAUAA
rnacentral:rRNA from 1 species